rnacentral:rRNA from 1 species
UCCUACGGGAGGCAGCAGUGGGGAAUUUUCCGCAAUGGGCGAAAGCCUGACGGAGCAAUACCGCGUGAGGGAAGACUGCCUAUGGGUUGUAAACCUCUUUUUUCAGGGAGGAAUCAAUGACGUGUACCUGAAGAAUAAGCAUCGGCUAACUCCGUGCCAGCAGCCGCGGUAAGACGGAGGAUGCAAGUGUUAUCCGGAAUCACUGGGCGUAAAGCGUCUGUAGGUGGUUAAGCAAGUCAACUGUUAAAUCUUGAGGCUCAACUUCAAAAUCGCAGUCGAAACUGUUUGACUAGAGUAUAGUAGGGGUAAAGGGAAUUUCCAGUGGAGCGGUGAAAUGCGUAGAUAUUGGAAAGAACACCGAUGGCGAAGGCACUUUACUGGGCUAUUACUGACACUCAGAGACGAAAGCUAGGGUAGCAAAUGGGAUUAGAUACCCCAGUAGUCCUAGCCGUAAACAAUGGAUACUAGAUGUUGAACAGAUCGACCUGUGCAGUAUCAAAGCUAACGCGUUAAGUAUCCCGCCUGGGAAGUAUGCUCGCAAGAGUGAAACUCAAAGGAAUUGACGGA